AUGUUGUGUCUUCAUCAGCAGAGCCUGAGUCAUUUAUGUGCAUUUAAAGCUAUCUUUGGAUGCAGCCCUGCUAAAGCACAAGGUAGUCUGAUGAUGAAGUACUUCACCCAUUUGCACUUGUUUAGAAGAAUACCCUCCACUUCUCCGCAGUGUACUUCUCAAGUAAAGCAAGUUGGAUAUUGGCUCCUACGUUGCCCUUUGUGUACAAUUUCUUUUGACUCUUAAUCAUCCUGGCAGCAAGUGUGUUCAACAUGAACUGGACCACACAUGGUGUCUUUGCAUAUUCUGUGCAUAUUCUGUCUCCAAGGAUUUGGAAAAAUCUCAAAGUCAGUGCUAGAAAAAGAAACGUAGUAAAACAAGAUUGGGGAAAUAAAAAAGUCAGUUACUUAGGAAAAUAUGCCCAAUUAUAAUAUAAUCUGCACAGUACGUACCAUAAGUAUUUUAGAAAUAAUGCAAUGUUGUCUGUAGGGAGAGAUGAAUGUUGCAACUAAAUAGUUUCUGAAGAGCAAACAUAAAUAAAUGUACUGACUCUUAAGACCUUGGCAUAGAGCGUACAAUAAUGAGUUGUUUUGACAAGUCCAAAAAAUGUUUCUGUCUCUCCUCUUUCCUAUGAUUUGGCAACUUCUUUACCUCAUAUUGAUUUGUUCCUCAUUUCCCUUGCAACAAAAUUUACCUUCUUGUAAACAUAUCAUCUGAUAUUCUUUCCACAAAGACUAUUUCUAGAGCCUCUACCUUCUUCCUAAAUGAUUUACUACUUUUUCGUUCCUUUUAUUAUUCCUCCCUCCACUGAAAAACCAAAACCAAACCCAAAAAUUUAACCAGCACAGAAUAGAAUAUUACAUUUUUCCAAACUAUCCAGACGAUGAAGACAAUGAUGGGUGUAGAGUUCUGUGUGGAUGGCUGUCUCAGCCUUACAAGAUGGAUAGUAAUGGGUCUCCUUUCAACCUCAAGCCUCUGUCUCUAAAACAAUCUCCAAGUCCAUCCUUGUAACAGAAUUGCUAAUAACUGCUCUUCCUGCAUCUCCAUGUCACAGUGGGUUGACCUACUUCU
rnacentral:lncRNA from 1 species